AGAAUCAACGCUGGCGGCGUGCCUAACACAUGCAAGUCGAACGAGAAAGUGGAGCAAUCCAUGAGUACAGUGGCGUACGGGUGAGUAACACGUGACUACCUACCCUCGAGUGGGGAAUAACCUCGGGAAACCGGGGCUAAUACCGCAUAAUGUCUUCGGACCAAAUGCGUAAGCAGCUUGAGGAGAGGGUCGCGGCCGAUUAGCUAGUUGGUGAGGUAAUGGCCCACCAAGGCAAUGAUCGGUAGCCGGCCUGAGAGGGCGCACGGCCACACUGGAACUGAAACACGGUCCAGACUCCUACGGGAGGCAGCAGUGGGGAAUUUUGCGCAAUGGGGGAAACCCUGACGCAGCAACGCCGCGUGGAGGAUGAAGCCCCUUGGGGUGUAAACUCCUUUCGAUCGGGACGAUUAUGACGGUACCGGAUGGAAGAAGCACCGGCUAACUCUGUGCCAGCAGCCGC
rnacentral:rRNA from 1 species